rnacentral:tRNA from 1 species
GGAAGGGUGGCCGAGUGGUUGAAGGCAGCAGUCUUGAAAACUGCCAGGCCCGCAAGGGUCUCGAGGGUUCGAAUCCCUCCCCUUCCG